CCCAGCGGGCUGUUUAUGAAAUUGAUAGACAAAGCUAUGACAGUAAAGACAAAAAAGAUAUCGUGGGAUCCUAUUGGUAGGAGUGGAUGGUUGCAAUGGAAACAAGGAGGUGAGUAAUAGACUAACUAACGGCAACCCACGAGAGACCUGACAGUUAGUCCAUCAUUUUCCCCCUUAGUCUAUAAGAACCAACUGUUUCAACCAAUAGGAUCGCUCCAUACUCUCUAUGUCAUUUUUGUGUAAUCUUUGUCUAUCAAUUUCAAUAAUCAGUCCGCAGGUCUAACUAAAAAAUCCAGGUCAAACCUAGCUCUGAUUGAAGAACUAAAUAUUUGACCUAGACAUUCAAAAUGCGUAGAAUUCACUGGUAAAAAAAAUCACAUGGAUCUAGAGUCCAGACUCUAAAAACAUCGACAAGAAAAAGUACUCUUGAUUCAAUCAGAAUCUAGCUUAAAUCAAGAAGCAAGCCUCUUAAUUUAAGCGGAUUUCGUUUUGAUUCAAGCAAGCAAAAUACGAUUGAAUCAAUAGUAUUUUUUGGUCAAUGUUUUCAAGAGUCUGGACUCUAGAUCCAAUGUUUUUUUUUGCCAGUGUUAUUUGUAUCCUAUCUCAUAGUGUUCUAUGCCUUUUAAAAUUUGACAGUGUCCUUUUUUUGUUUUUUGAAAUGCAAUUGAUACUAGUUUGAUUCUUUAUUUGUUACAGGUGUGUGCCUGAAACAGAACGCAUUAUGCACUGUUUACCUGCUCAUUCUUCUAGUCAUACCUUUUAUACCGGUCCCCACUCAUGUUUCCAUGAGAAAACACAGCGGCUGGUUUUUAAAACUAGUAAUAGUGCUGAGCGUGAUUCUGCUGUUAGCUCAACUAGCGUUCAAGUUGUGCUCCUCAUUAUGGUUCCAUAUGGAAGCAUCAUAGAAAAAAAUUGUCAAGGCUCAGAACCAAUAUUUCGUUAUAUAGGAUUCAUAAGACUGAACGGAUUAUCUUUAAGUCAGUUUAUAUCAGGGUAUCACCUGAGUUCAUAAUGUUUUUUCUUCUAUAACAAUUCAGGUUCUAUGUCAUAAAAUUAAUAAUGUCAAAGAUCUAGUUUUUGAUAAAUCGGAUCCAGAAGACUCAAUAACAACAGAUGAGCGCACUAAUUCUAGUUUUUCCAACGAAACAAAUAUACUUUCCUUACUGCGAUAGGUAAGUUGAUAUCUGAUUUUUUAACACAUUUUUGUUUAUUUGAACUGCUCAAAGAGAACAGUGCAGGUUUAUUUUUCCUAAGUCAAAAUUGUAUUUCAAUUCUUCUUUCAUCUUUAAAAAUAUAUCCAAGUCUCAAAAUAAAUACUGA
rnacentral:lncRNA from 1 species